CACAUAUGUACAUUUGUACCGUAGACAGCAGGGGCGUUCGCGCUUAAUCAUCCUGCCGAGGACUAACGAGAUAGAUUAUGCGGCUUUUCCGCUUUUCGUGCCUCCAUGUCUUCCGGGAUAUGGGGGCCUUUUCACGUCUGA
rfam:Domibacillus enclensis strain NIO-1016 genome assembly, contig: Ga0061089_113